AAAAGCUUAGGAUACCUAGACCAAGAGCCUUCAAAGCUCUAAGCAGGAGAUAAAACCUCCUAGCUUUUG
rnacentral:tRNA from 1 species